CUCCAGAACCAAGGCAGAAGGGUACCCUGUCCACCCUCCAACGCAAGUACCUGAACAUUGAACUAAUUCCUGAACUCACCAGUACUCACUCUUCAGCUCAAGCAAAAACCAUCUGGAUUACCCCGCCUCGCACACCUGGGUCCCGACUACCUCUACCCCUGGCGACCUGACGGUGUUUGUUUAUUGGCAAAUUUACCCGUUCAUGUCCCAGACUCACUGGCUGUAAAUAAACACCUUUCACUUAUUCA